GCGCCUGUAGCUCAGCAGGAAAGAGCAACUGACUUCUAAUCAGUGGGUCGGGGGUUCAAAUCCUCCCAGGCGCGCCA
rnacentral:tRNA from 1 species